rnacentral:rRNA from 1 species
UAAGCAUAUCAAUAAGCGGAGGAAAAGAAACCAACAGGGAUUGCCUUAGUAACGGCGAGUGAAGCGGCAAAAGCUCAAAUUUGAAAUCUGGCACCUUCGGUGUCCGAGUUGUAAUUUGAAGAAGGUAACUUUGGAGUCAGCUCUUGUCUAUGUUCCUUGGAACAGGACGUCACAGAGGGUGAGAAUCCCGUGCGAUGAGAUGUCUGAUUCUAUGUAAAGUGCUUUCGAAGAGUCGAGUUGUUUGGGAAUGCAGCUCUAAGUGGGUGGUAAAUUCCAUCUAAAGCUAAAUAUUGGCGAGAGACCGAUAGCGAACAAGUACAGUGAUGGAAAGAUGAAAAGAACUUUGAAAAGAGAGUGAAAAAGUACGUGAAAUUGUUGAAAGGGAAGGGUUUGAGAUCAGACUUGGUAUUUUGUAUGUCUUGCUUUCGGGUGGGGCCUCUACAGUUUACUGGGCCAGCAUCGGUUUGGACGGUAGGAUAAUGACAUUGGAAUGUGGCACCACUUCGGUGGU